rnacentral:misc_RNA from 1 species
AACCAUAGAAACCUGCGGAGUACCUGCGGAAGGAUCAUUACCGAGUUUACAACUCCCAAACCCAUGUGAACAUACCUAUCGUUGCUUCGGCGGAUCGCCCCGGGCGCCUUGCGUGCCCCGGAUCCAGGCGGCCGCCGGGGGACCUUAACUCUUGUUUUUACUGAGAAUCUUCUGAGUCGUUUUUACAAAUAAAUAAAAACUUUCAACAACGGAUCU